AUACUUACCUGGCAGAGGAGGUACCAUGAUCAGAAAGGUGGUUUUUCCCAGGUUGAGGCUUAUCCUUUGCACUCUGAUGAGCUGACCUCCGGGAUUUCCCCAAAUUCAAGGAAACUCAGCUUCAUAAUUUGUGGUAGUGGGGUAGGGGACUGUGUUCUCAAUUUUUCUAU
rfam:Cricetulus griseus cell line CHO-K1, whole genome shotgun sequence.